GUUGUGGCGCAAUGGAUAGCUCGUUGGACUUCUAAUCCAAAGGUCAUGGGUUCGAAUUCCACCUGGGAUG